CGUCGCGGAGCACAGGCUCCGGACGCGCAGGCGCAGCGGCCACGGCUCACGGGCCCAGCCGCUCCGCGGCACGUGGGAUCCUCCCGGACCGGGGCGCGACCCCGGUUCCCCUGCGUCGGCAGGCGGACGCGCAACCGCUGCGCCCCCAGGGAAGCCCCUGUGCUUCUUGAGGUGUAGCUGUGAAGAUCAGACAAGAUGAGGAAAUUGAGGUCUAGAGAGGUGUAGUAACUAACCCAAGGUCACACAUUUAGCAAAGGGAGGAGCUGAUGGAAGAGGACUGCUUGAAAGAUGGGGAGUCUGUGCUCUGAUAUGGAGCCCACGAUCACUUCAGGUUUUGCAGAUGGGCUAAAAAAGGCAUUCAGGACUUCCCUGGUGGCCCAGUGGUAAACAAUCCGCCUUCCAAUGCAGGGGACAUGGGUUCGAUCGCUGGUCCAGGAACUAAGAUCCCACAUGCGGUGGGGCAACUAAGCCCGCGCGCCACAACUACUGAGCUCGCGCACCUCAGCUAGAGAGCCUGCGUGCCACAAACUAGAGCCCACGCGCCGGGGAGCCUGAGUGCCACAACUAGAGAGAGAAAACCUGCAUGCCACAGCUAGAGAGAAGCCCAUGUGCUGCAAUGAAGAUCCCGAGUUCCGCAACUAAGACCCGAG